rnacentral:tRNA from 1 species
GGGGCUGUAGCUCAUUGGUAGAGCACUUGCCUAGUGUGUGUGAGGCACUGAGUUCGAUCCUCAGCACCA